UUUUUCUCUCUCUCUUAUUGUAUCCUCUCUCUCUUUCAAAUAUCGAGCUCCCCCUGCUUUCCCUUACACACAAACACAUGCAUACACAAACACACACCUCUUUCUCACUCUCUCUCUCUUUCUCUCUCUGUCUUCUCUUCCACUCUACCCCCCCCUCUCUUUCUUCUCUUUCACCCUCCCUCCUCUCUCUCUCUCUCCCUCUCUCUCCCCAGGCUCUCAGCUCCUGCCUCUAUUUUUAUCCUCGCCCCGCCCCUCCCCUGUCGCUCGGCAGCUAUUUCCAGCUCUGUGAAGCAGCCCAGUCUGUUUGUAAACUCCACGGCUCCACUCUGCUGCUCUCUCUUUCUCUCUCUCUCUUUCUCUCUCUCCCUCGCUCUCUAUUGCUCUCUCGCUCGCUUGAUCACUCCUGUGCCCCCCACAUGCAGCAGAGGGAGGGUGUGGGCAUCAGUUGCAACCAAACAAAUCCAAACUAGCGGAGGACAGAGAGGCUGUUUGGGUUUUUUUCGUGCGACUCGACCGCGACAGAUCGACCGCGGUGGCUCAACGUGCUUUUAUUUUUUGGGAACUACUGUAGCUUCUCAGUCUCUCUCUCAUUCUCUCUAUUCUUCACCUCCAUUCUUCUCAAUCUCUCAUUUUUCUCUUUCUCCCAACCUUACUCACACGUCUCUGUCCCCUUCAUCUCUCUCUCUCCCUCUCUCUACUUCUUGUCUGCACUCUUUCUCUCUCUGUUUCUCUUUCUAUUGCCCUCUUAACCUCUUACUCUUUCUCUCUUUCUCUCUCUCUCUUUCCACACCCCGUCCAUUUCUCUCCCUCUCUCUGUUUCUUGUCUGCUGCGCUCUGUUUCUACCUCUCUUGCUCUGUCUCUCUUUCUCUAUUUAUCCAGGUUAUAUAUCUUGCUUUCUCUCACUCAUUCACUCUCUCUGUUUUUUCUCUUUCUCUUUCAAUCCUUCUUUCUCUCUCCCUCUCUCCAUUUCUUGUCUGCUGCUAGUUCUAUCUCACUCUCUCUCCUUUACUCUGUCUGUUUCUUUUUCCCUUUUCCCCUACCUCUUACUCUCUCUCUCUCUCUAUCUAAUUCUCGCUCUGCACCCCCUCCAUCUCUCUCUCUCUCCCUCGCUCUCUCUCUCUCUCUGUGAUCUCAUUUGCUGCUCUCACCGCAAGGAAAAGAAGGCAUCCAGUCAAACUCCGGACUUACCGCAGACACAGCUCAGGAACCGUGCCGGAUACGAGCGCGCAGUAGUGAACGGAAUAAUGACAGACGCUCUCGUUUGA
rnacentral:lncRNA from 1 species